GUGGGUACUUGUGUGGCUGGUCAGUUGGACACCCUCUUACCGGUCUUGUCCACCUUGGUUGUCGCUGGGCGGGUGGGCCACGUUGCAGGUGAAGGUCUCACUGAGCCACCUGCUGGAGGGCACCGUCACCAUGCUGCUGAGAGAGUAGAGCCCCGAGGCCUGCAGGACGGACGGGAAGGUGUGCACACCGCUGGUCAGGGCGCCGGAGUUCCAGGACACGGUCACCGGCUCAGGGAAGUAGCCUAACACCAGGCAGGCCAGGGCCACGGUGGCGCCAGAUGUGGUCCCGCAGCUGGGGGCCAGUGGGAACA